ACAAUGAUCCAUACCACCCUGAAUGCACCUGAUCUCAUCUGAUCUUGGAAGCUAAGCAGGGUCUGGCCUGGUUAGUACUUGGAUGGGAGACCAUAAAUAUUUUGCAGUGCUUUAAA
rnacentral:rRNA from 1 species